CGGUUUAAGGUGGAAGUUUUUUAAUGAAAUAAAUCGAAGUUUCACUUUUCAGGGGAUUUUUUUUGUUUUAUUUGCUAAUUCUAGUUUUUUUAAUUUUAAGGAAAUAAAUCUGAACAUAUAAUUUAGUUAGGAUUUGGUUAGUGAAUGUGAAGGAGAAGAUUUAAGGAGGAAGUAAAGAGUUUGUCUUUAAUGAUGAUGUUCAGUCCAGUCCAUUUACACUUUGUAGUUGUAAUGUACUCUUUGGAUUUGGUGUCCUCCUUUUCUUUUUUUUUUUUAAUGUUUUUUUUUUAAUUUGUUUUGGUUUUUUCACAUAAUUUGCAAUGUUGCAUUAAAUGAACCGAGUUUGGUAGUGGAAGAGAAAACUAAAUCGGAAUGAGGCAUUGAAGUUGAAUGUUAGGAGGGUUGGUGACUUUCUCUCAUUUUAGACUCAAAACUCUUAACCAAGCGAUGAGUGAGAAGAAAAUUACAAAUAACAUUAUAUAAUUUCUUUUGAAAUAGAAACAAAUGCACAUGAAUUAAUAAGAGAAUCUAAUAAAUCAUGUAAACUAUAUAGAUUUUGGUUUGACUGUAUUUUGGAAAUCCAAAUAAACAUGGGUUUGUACUUUGAUGUGUCAGAUUUUUCUCAAGUAUAUAAG
rnacentral:lncRNA from 1 species